rnacentral:rRNA from 1 species
GACGAGGGAUCCUAGCGUUGUUAGGAAUCAUUGGGCGUAAAGCGGGUGUAGGCGGACUUAUAAGUCAGGUGUGAAAUCCCAGGGCUCAACCCUGGAAGUGCACUUGAUACUGUAAGUCUUGAGUGUGGUAGAGGCUAUUAGAAUUCCUGGUGUAGUGGUGAAAUACGUAGAUAUCAGGAGGAAUACCGGAGGCGAAGGCGGAUAGCUGGGCCAACACUGACGCUGAGACCCGAAAGCGUGGGGAUCAAACAGG